UACAGAGGGUGCAAGCGUUGUUCGGAAUUAUUGGGCGUAAAGAGCUCGUAGGCGGUUUUGUUGCGUCGGCUGUGAAAUCCCGAGGCUCAACCUCGGGUCUGCAGUCGAUACGAGCAAACUAGAGUGUUGCAGGGGAGACUGGAAUUCCUGGUGUAGCGGUGAAAUGCGCAGAUAUCAGGAGGAACACCGGUGGCGAAGGCGGGUCUCUGGGCCGUAACUGACGCUGGAGGAGCGAAAGCGUGGGGAGCGAACAGG
rnacentral:rRNA from 1 species